rnacentral:rRNA from 1 species
GACGAACCGUGCGAACGUUAUUCGGAAUCAUUGGGCUUAAAGGGCGCGUAGGCGGCGAUAUAAGUUGGAAGUGAAAUCCCAUCGGCUCAACCGUGGAAUAGCUCCCAGUACUGUAUCGCUCGAGGGGGAUAGGGGUCUGCGGAACUACCGGUGGAGCGGUGAAAUGUGUUGAUAUCGGUGGGAACGCCAGUGGCGAAAGCGGCAGACUUGACCCUUCCUGACGCUGAGUGCGCGAAAGCUAGGGGAGCAAACAGG